ACGGGUGAGUGAUGUCUGGGAAACUGCCUGAUGGAGGGGGAGUAACUACUGGAAACGGUAGCUAAUACCGCAUAACGUCGCAAGACCAAGAGGGGGACCUUCGGGCCUCUUGCCAUCAGAUGUGCCCAGAUGGGAUUAGCUAGUAGGUGGGGUAACGGCUCACCUAGGCGACGAUCCCUAGCUGGUCUGAGAGGAUGACCAGCCACACUGGAACUGAGACACGGUCCAGACUCCUACGGGAGGCAGCAUG
rnacentral:rRNA from 1 species